rnacentral:sRNA from 1 species
AAAAAAAACUGAAAUGAAGAAAGCGAAGAAGAAGAAAAAGAGGAAGAGAAAGAGAUGGAGAGAUUUGAAAGAGAAGUAGAGAGAAGUUCAAACUUCAUUAUCUACUUCUUCAUAUUUCGACAUCUCUCCAUUGAACUCUAAAAUUGAGGAAGAAAUUUCUUGUUUUCAGAGAUGAACAAAAUGCAAAAAAAAAUCACAGAUUCAAACAAUUUAGCUUUUUAAACUAAAGAUACUCUAUAUUUACAAGAUUUAUAUAUAAAUAGUAAUUAAAACGUAUAAAAAAAUGAGAUUUUGAGAAAACUGCUAAAGAUGACCGCAAAAUUAGGUUUGCAGAAAAGGAUACACAGGUUAAAAAUGACUGGAAAAUUAUAAUUAUACCCUUCAUUAAAUUUCUUCUGUGUACGUAUAUUCAAUUUACAGUGUACGUACACAAAAUUAUUUAGUCGAAUGUAUAUGGUACAAUUUCUAAUAACUAAAGCUAUUUUAUUACGUAUUCUUAUAUCUCAAUAAUCUCCAUACAUACAUAAUAAUUAAAUAGAAAUAGAUGGUGAAAUAAUAUUUGUUCCUCAUAUUGAAAGUUAUGUACGUAUAUGUGUAAUAAUGUACGUAUAUUUUUG